rnacentral:snRNA from 1 species
GCUGGGGAAACACCAUGACCACGAAGGGAGCUAUUCCAGGGCAAGGCUCAUCUGGUGCAUCCAGAUACGCUGACCCCUGCGAUUUCCCCAAAUGUGGGAAGAAGCUCGACUGCAUCACUGACGGCAGUGGGGGACUGUGUUCCUGCUUCCCCCU